CUCCCCGUCCCCAACCCCAACCUCCCUAUUCCUCUCGAUUCCUCCCACACUGGCCGCCGCCCCUCGUCAGACAUUGUGACUCCUUUACGCGGCAGCGACCUACAUGCCGGCGCGCCGCUCGUCACCACUCCCCUGCGACCCUCCAUCCCGGCGCGCAGUCCCUCGUCACCACUCCCCCGCGACCCUGGAUCCCGGCGCGCCGCUAGUCACCACUCCCCUGCGACCCUCCAUCCCGGCGCGCAGUCCCUCAUCACCACUCCCCUGCAACCCUGGAUCCCGGCGCGCCGCCCCUCGUCACCGCUUCCCUGCGACCAACGGCGAAUCCAAGUUUCUAGCGAAAAUAUCUGAAGAUCCUUACUAGUUUCCAGUGAUGUUCUAUCCUAUUAAGCAAGAGUCUUCAAGGUGGUAGUUCAGUUCAACACUUCUGAUCUCCGUGUCCGGCGCCCCAUGCUCCAACCUUGGACUUGUUCCCAGGGUCAUGAAUGGACGUGCCCAGUUUCAGCAAAGUACGCGCACGAAUGCUGAUUCAUUCAUGCGCCUUCCUGCCUUUCUGAUGCCGUUUUCGUCCAAUAACAUUUUCGGCAGGGGUAAUGAUCGAGCCUCGCUAUACUAUGCAAAUUUAUAUGCUUUAAACAACAAUGAAGUGCAACAAUUAAUUUAACACAACAUAUAAGUGAUUGUAAUUCAAGUUGAAUAUCACGCACUAUAAAUACAUGGCUUUUACAAUUGUAUAUCUUAACUUAGUCUACAUGGCUUGCAGUGCACAUGCUGCAGCCAGGGUAUGUAUAUGGUUUCUUAUGUAAUACCAUGUUGGCUUUGAAACUGAGCAGAAUUAUUUAUUUUCCUUUUUAAUGGUUAGUUAUUGAUUUAUAUUUUGCAAAUUGCUAUCUUUUCCCUUCUGAAAUAAAAGCUGAUCUUCAAGUUCUGUUAGUCAGAUAUGAUUAUUAUGUAUGACUAUAUCAGCAGCAAGGUGUUUUUAGUACCAAAUGAUGAAUAUUUCAACCACUAUUUGGCGGUAAGUUAGAUGCUUUCCCUUACUUCCCAAAAAUAAUAUAGGUACUUCUGUUACAGUUGGGAGCUGAUGUAUUGUUAUCCCAGUAUGGUGGCCAAUACAAAUUAUAUUCUAUAUUCGUGUGCACACUGAGACCAAAUAAAUCAUAAUUGUAUUAUCUUUUUUUGGCCUUUGUGGUAACAUGGUAUCUCGUUGUAUCCUGUUUAAAAAAUCAUGAGAAAUAUUUUAAUAUUACUAGUUUGCUUUUUCAACUAAAAAGGAUAUUGGUAUUGUCGUUAUCGUUAGUUCAGGACACGGUGCUUCCAUAGGUGUAUUUUUUCAGGUACUAUUACACACUAAAAGUUGGGAACAAGUUCUAUUCUGCCUAUUAUAUUUAUGAAGUAUGGAUAGAACAGACAUUCUUGUUUUGCAAAUCCCAUACGGAAAGGGAAAGGACAAACUAGAUACAAGGAUACAGAUGUUCUUGUUUUGCAAGUUCUAUUCUGCCUAUUUUUCAGUAUUAUGAGCCUGUACUCAUGAAGUAUGCUGCAAGGAAAUACGCGCCUACAAGUUGCCCCUAUAAGAUUAAUAUACUGUUUUAGCUAUUCCACUAUAAAUUAUUUACUCUUUUAGCAAUUUCAAUAUAAAUUAUUUUGGUUUGCCCAAUAAGAUUUUCCUAGAACAGUAUGCACACUAUUGAUUUGCAACCAUCCUUUUCUGGGUCCAGAGUUGUUCGUCACCCACAAAAUAUUUACUCAUCAUUAUUUGUGCCAUUUGUAAAAUGGAUGUCACCAUGUAUCACAAAAAAAAUGUUGUUAUAUUGUAUUUGCAGCACACAAAUUAUCACGAUUUGUUUUCAGUUUCAAAGAAAAUAAAUAUUUACUUGGGCUAACUAGCAUGUGUACCAGUUCAGGUAUGUGGCAUGCAAGCAGAGGAGAGGAUGAACUUGACAAUUACCAAUACUACUUCAUAUUUGAUUUGACAAGAUGCAAAAGAUAAAUGGACGAUUAUAUGGGUGUGUGGCAAGUAUACUGCAAUGAUGAUAAUUUUGUUCCUGUUGUUGUUGAUGAUGAUGAUGAUGAUGAUGAUGAUGAUGACGACGACGAUGAUGAUGGAUGCUUUCAGUUUUAGUUAAGUUGUAGGGAUGAUGUUCAUGUUGGCUGAUGUUCCUCGGUUAAGUUUUAGAUAAGUUGUAGGGAUGUGAUGGAUGCUUUCAGUCUAAAUUUGCUACCAAGAAAAUAUUUAGAUUAUACAUCACAUUAGAUGGUGUUCCUCCUGUAAUAUCCACUAUUGUAAUCCAACAAUUUUAUCAAAUAUAUGAUUUAUUCGUCUA